rnacentral:rRNA from 1 species
UACGAAGGGUGCGAGCGUUGUUCGAAAUGACUGGGCGUAAAGGGUUCGUAGGCGGGAAGACAAGUUUAGUGUGAAAUCCCCAGGCUUAACCUGGGACGUGCAUUAAAAACUGUUUUUCUUGAGUAUUGGAGAGGGUGGUGGAAUUGCUGGUGUAGGAGUGACAUCCGUAGAGAUCAGCAGGAACACCGGAGGCGAAGGCGACCACCUGGCCAAAUACUGACGCUGAGGAACGAAAGCGUGGGGAGCAAACAGG